rnacentral:lncRNA from 1 species
GGUAAGGAGCAAUAGACGGAAUUCGCCCUAGAACCGUUAGGCUAGGCUCAUUAGACGUAGACGGAAUUAGUCUGGUAUGGCUGAAGAAUGGUUUCAUCAGUUGAAUUUUGGAAGGUCAUAUCGUAUUAUAAAAAAGAAAACCCCGUUGUUAAAAUAGCUUGCCUUUCCUGCUUUGCCUAUCCAUUUGUUUCAGUAAAUUAGAAUUAUGAUGAAUAAUGAUAAGUCGUCUCUGGAAUCACCAAACAUUCCUAUUUUCAUUUUGCUAAUCAAAUGCAUUGUAAAGAUUAGAAAUCAACAAAAGAAAAAA